GACAACAAUAAAGCUCUAAUGAAAAUCUGGAACGCACCGAAGGAGGAAGUGGAACGCAAGCCAGAUGUAGACCAGUAACACGGAGUAAUUAAAACAACUAGGAACAGUGGUGGGGAGGCGAAAUAGAGUUCACCUGUUGGUGGAUUAGAAGAAAACUCCCAUGAACACACACCGGAGGAAAUCAGAAAUAUCCCUAUUUAAGAAGAUGGUGUAAAGUGAUCAGUAGGACAUUUUAUGGUUAUAUAUUUUAUGAUUGCAAUUGUACAAAAGGUGGCCCCUGAGGAAGUUUCUAUAGAAACGAAACACGUAGGACCGGUGAUAUCCCACUGUUUUUACCAAAUCUCUUUAUGAUUGGAUUUUGUAGCAAAUAAACCGUUUUAUACUUACCUACCUGACUGCUAACUUUGAUCCAGAGAGUGAUAAGAUGAUCGAGGAUCCAGACCUCUCCUGGAGGGGAAGGCAACUUUAAGGCUUUUUUUUCAUCUGGAGUUUAUAUCCAGCUGUACCCCAAUUUUCUUUAUACAUCUUGUCUAUGUGAGGUCACCAUCAGGGAAGGGACCUUGGGAAGCUGUUCCAUAAGCUAAGUAGCUUUUCCCCCCAUAUACUGUAAUUUUGGUGAAUAUUGGAUAUCAUUUGUAUUUUUACAUUGUCAACUAUUGCUGGAUGACUUUGCAUGGAUAAUAUGCAAGUGAAACAUUCAUAUUUUCUGAAUCAAAGCAGAGGGCAACAUGUCC